UGGUACGUACUGCGCAGUCACAUGUAGCGCACUUUAGAUGUGAAGCAGAGUCAGUAGUCACUAGCGUCGUCGUCCAGUGGCCCUACUAACUGUCGAAGGAGGUCUAAACGUAAUCUGCACAAGAACACGUGUGUACAGCCAAGAGGACAGCGUCCGGUAGAAAAACACCGUAACGAGUCACCGAGCGAUUGCUGUUUGCCCAUUAACGCCGACCCGGUCUAGUGUAGCAUUCGACCCAGCAGCAGCAACAUGCUGAUCUGUAUCGUGUACUCAGCCGCCUGUGUCUGCAUUAUUCUCGCUGUUGUGCGGCACCAUGUCUAGUAUGCUGACCUAGUCGGCUUUCUCUACUUCUUUAGCACGCGGAAAUGCAAUAGAUGCACGUGAAUUUCUUGCAUGAAACUGUGCGUGCUGACAGUCCAGCUCCGUCCUUCCGUCUUCAGCGAAAAAUCCAGAUCCGCUUCCUGGCAGCCCUCUAGCAGUUUUGCUUCAUCGACGAGACAGUUCAGGCCUAAAGUAUAAUGGGAACGUUGACAGACUUCGGAUGUCGAUAAGUUUCUGUGGGCAUGUCGUACGACUCUGGGCAAUAAGCCAGUGAACUACACGAGGCGAAGGGAAAGAAAAACGAUGAGACCCACUGCAGCAGAAUCGAGCACAGGCCCAAAAAAGCUCACACGACGCCAUGAAAGGACGAACAGCAGAGGAGCAUACCAGCACCCAGAGACAGGUCGCGCUUUCUUAGCAUUGAAAGUACACAACGAUUUGCUCCGCUUCCCCAGGAUCGCUCUCGGAGUAUUACUUCUAACAACAUGUGCAUAGAUCCACGCAUCACAGUGCCCCGUGUCAUAGCUACGGAAUGCUUGCUGAAGGUCUGCGUCUGCCUGUGGGUGUCGGGUGGGGUGUGCAGGGAUGGCUGCAACUUGUUGCCGGAAACGGCGCCUCGUAUUCUC